AGAGAGAAGCCUUGGGUCCCACUGGUCCGAGCUCUGCGUGCUGAAUCUAGAAGCUGCAGUCUCUAAGCCGAAACUAGCCCAGGCCUCACAGCCGCCUUCCCGCCGGUCUCCCACUGCCUUGGCGGGGCGCUGGCGCCCUCUGCUGGCCAAGUCUCGCUCUGCGCGCAAACGCCCCGGAAAUCAGCCGGAAGUUCCCUGGGGCCCCACAGGAGUGAGGACCCACCUGGAUUCACUUUGUCAUUUUUUAGCUGCAUGACCUUAAGAAAGCUAAUGAACCUCAGAGCACUACCUGUGAAGUGGAAAUAAUAGCGCCUACACUUCAGGGUCGGUGUAAGGAUUGCAUAGAAUACCGUAUAGAAAGCACCCAGCACAUUGUAGGUAUGUUUAAUGGUAGCGAUUAUUAAUAAUGCCCAACUCACAUGGUGAGAUGAGAUCUGAGAAGCCUCCUUAUAAAGGUGAUCCAGAAUUACUCCCGAACUCUACCAGCUGAAAUCCUCCUCAACUCACAUCAGACAAGAUGGCCCUGCCACUUACCUGUCAGAUCACUUUGGGCAGUUUACAGGAGAGAAGAUGCAGCCUGGGAGAGAUGUAGCAGGUGUCUGAGGCCACACAGCAAGUCACCCAGGGCCAGGAUCUGAAGCUGGGUCUCUCCAGCUCCACUGCCUGGGCACUUUCUCCUCCACAGCGACCUUCAGGUCAUCAUGAGGAGCCUUUCAGACUAAAGCUAGAGAGCUGGGAUUCCAACAGUUCAGCAACCCAUGACUUCUCCAUGGCAGCUGCUGCCUGACCACCUAGUGCCUUUCCACUAAGAUUGUUCCUUCCCUCUCCUGAAGAUUAUCCUCCUGCCCCUCUCUCCCAAACAUCUGCGGUGUGCACCUGCUGCCCAAAGUUGAACUUUUUUUUGUUAGAGACAGGGCCUCACUGUGUCAUCCAGGCUGGAGUGCAGUGGCGUGAUCAUAGCUCACUGCAGCCUCCAACUCCUGGGCUCAAGUGACCCUCUCACCUCAGCUUCCUGAGUAGCUGGGACUACAGGCAUGCACCACCACACCUGGCUAAUUUUUAAAUUUUUUGCAGAGACAGGGUCUAGCUAUGUUGCCCACCCUGGUCUUGAACUCCUGGGCUCAAGCAGUCUGUCUGCCUUGGUCUCCCAGUGCGCUGGGAUUGCAGGCAUGAAUCACCAUGCCCGGUCCUCCAAAGUUGAACUUUUGAGACUCAGUUUCCUUCUUGGUAAAUUCAGGCUCCUAGGUGCUACCUCCUCAGAGACAUCCUCCUUGACCACAUCACAUGACCUCUCACAGAGGCCAGAUUCUUUAAUGUAUUCAUUUGUCUAUUAUCAUGUUUCCCCACUAGAAGUUGCACAAACGGCAGGGGCUUCAUCUGUUUUGUUUGCCGUUAUGUCCUUAGCACCUAAAAUUGUGCCUGGCACAUAUAGUACUCAGUAUGUAUUUGCUGGGUCAAUGAGUGAGUGAAUUUAUACUAAUAACAGCAGCUACUAUUUCUAGAGUGUUUACCAUAUGUUGGGCACUGUGUCAAUCUUCCCAACAACCCACAGACGAAGAUCAAUUAUUACACCCAUUGUACAGAUCAGGAAACUGAGUCAGGUUAAGAAACUUGCCCUAAAUCCUACAGUCUCACUUGGAACUUCUGACUGCAGUGCUCAUCAGAAUGCAUUGUCAACCCAAAGGUCAUUUCCAGCUUAGGUGGCUUCUAUCAACAGAGCUCAUCCUGGCCUUCCCAAGAGCCAGACCUCCGACAUCGGUGGAGCCCUGUGCAUAGCUGGCCUCUCCUGGGCGUCUUGUCCCAAGUACAGAGACCUGGAUCCUUUCCCACUCAUGUGCAACAGCCCAAAAUUAAAAACAAAAGCCAUAUUAAAAAACAAAACCAA